rnacentral:rRNA from 1 species
CGAAGGGGGCUAGCGUUGUUCGGAAUCACUGGGCGUAAAGGGCGCGUAGGCGGCGGUUCAAGUCGGGGGUGAAAGCCUGUGGCUCAACCACAGAAUGGCCUUCGAUACUGGACGGCUCGAGACCGGAAGAGGUCAGUGGAACUGCGAGUGUAGAGGUGAAAUUCGUAGAUAUUCGCAAGAACACCAGUGGCGAAGGCGGCUGACUGGUCCGGUUCUGACGCUGAGGCGCGAAAGCGUGGGGAGCAAACAGGAUUAGAUACCCUGGUAGUCCACGCCGUAAACGAUGGAUGCUAGCCGUUGGCGCGCUUGCGCGUCAGUGGCGCCGCUAACGCUUUAAGCAUCCCGCCUGGGGAGUACGGUCGCAAGAUUA